AUUGAACGCUGGCGGCAUGAUUUACACAUGCAAGUCGAACGGUAACAGGCCGCAAGGUGCUGACGAGUGGCGAACGGGUGAGUAAUGCAUCGGAACGUGCCCAGUCGUGGGGGAUAACUACUCGAAAGAGUAGCUAAUACCGCAUACGAUCUAUGGAUGAAAGCGGGGGACCGUAAGGCCUCGCGCGAUUGGAGCGGCCGAUGUCAGAUUAGGUAGUUGGUGGGGUAAAGGCUCACCAAGCCAACGAUCUGUAGCUGGUCUGAGAGGACGACCAGCCACACUGUGACUGAGACACGGCCCAGACUCCUACGGGAGGCAGCAGUGGGGAAUUUUGGACAAUGGGCGCAAGCCUGAUCCAGCAAUGCCGCGUGCAGGAAGAAGGCCUUCGGGUUGUAAACUGCUUUUGUACGGAACGAAACGGCUCUGGUUAAUACCCGGGGCUAAUGACGGUACCGUAAGAAUAAGCACCGGCUAACUACGUG
rnacentral:rRNA from 1 species